GCCUCCUCGGGAGUUCUCUUCAAGCACUUCAGGAUAUGUCUUUUCAAGAACUUCUCUGAAGUGUUUGGGGGAACUCUCGGUGUCAC
rnacentral:pre_miRNA from 1 species